GAAAGAGGGAUCAAAGCAUUUGCCAAGAGUCCAGCUGGGUCAGACACCAGACUGGCCGGAGGAGGCACCUGUUUUGCGGCGCUGCUGAUCCCCGGAGGCCCAGAGGCAGCAGCAGUCACAAGUCUUCCCGAGGGGACGCAGAUUCUGGGAAGCUGGGCAGUGGGCACGGGAUAAAACAGGAGGGCCUGGGUUCUCGUAAGAGCUCCAUCGUGGCCCAGGCGUGAACCUCAGGUAAGUCACCUGAUCUCGCAUCCUCUACAGAAACAGGCCAUUUUUAUUUACCCACCAAUUAUUUACCCAGGCUCUUCCGUGUACAAGGGCACCGCCCUGGGCACAUGCUAGGAGGUUGUGUCUAUGUUAUUUUAUGAGACUUUCACCCAAUUUAAUUUACACCAUCAUUUUCAUCUUUCAGCACAGGGCUAUUCAGAAUUCUCAAGGCUUACGAGUAGAAUAAACCUCUGGCAAUCUAGGUACUGAGGGCUCCAGAAACAAGAGUGUAUUAGUGGGCUUUGUAAAGGUGACAAAAGAGGAGCUCAUGAGGAAAUGAAAUGGCUUCCAGGUAGGAUCAAAUCCAGAGUGCUGUCAGGAAAACAGCCCACAGAUGAAGCCAGGGUUGUGACUACAAAACUGUUAAAACUUCAGAAAGUUGCUUCAUAGACCUUUACAAGCAGACAAAGGGCCUACAGCUUUGGAGAGUGUGAGGUGGAGAAGGGCUAAAGGAGACUUAUGGGUGUGGCUUUUGCCUAACGGAGUUGGUUAUAAAUUGAUUGAUAAGAAGC